UCAUUUGAACCUGACAUAUGUGAAAGUGCCGAGUCCAGAAAUACAGAGCUUUGUGAGACACCAACUACUUCUGACCCAAAGUCAGAUACUGCAGCAGGAGGAGAAUGCGCAGGUCAUGACAGCCUCUCUCAGGAGCCUCCUGGAUGUUCAAACCAGAGACCAGCAGAGGACCUCACCGUCAGAGUGGAAAGCAGAUUAACAAAAAAGCUUGAAGAAAGGAGAGAAGAGAAGAGGAAGGAAGAGGCCCAGAGAGAGAUUAAGAAGGAAAUUGAAAGGAGAAAAACUGGAAAGGAAAUGUUGGAUUAUAAAAGAAAACAAGAAGAAGAAUUAACAAAAAGAAUGUUAGAAGAAAGAAGCAGAGAAAAGGCAGAAGAUAGAGCAGCUCGGGAGCGCAUCAAGCAGCAGAUUGCACUGGAUCGUGCAGAAAGAGCUGCUCGUUUUGCAAAGACAAAGGAAGCAGAGGCUGCCAAAGCUGCUGCCUUGCUGGCCAAACAGGCAGAAGCAGAAGUCAAGAGGGAGUCUUCCACACGGGACAGAAGCACCAUUGCAAGAAUUCAGUUCCGGCUGCCUGAUGGUUCUUCCUUUACAAACCAGUUUCCUUCUGAUGCUCCUUUAGAAGAAGCAAGGCAGUUUGCUGCACAGACUGUUGGCAACACAUAUGGUAAUUUUUCACUAGCAACUAUGUUUCCCAGAAGAGAGUUCACCAGAGAGGACUAUAAGAGGAAGCUGCUGGAUCUGGAGCUGGCCCCCAGCGCCUCUGUGGUGCUGCUGCCAGCAGGACGGCCAGCCACAUCCAUUGUCCCCUCUUCUAGUGGAGACAUUUGGACAUUACUGGGAACGGUGCUUUAUCCAUUCCUGGCCAUAUGGAGACUAAUUAGCAAUUUUUUAUUUAGUAAUCCUCCUCCUGCACAGACUUCAGCAAGAGCCACGUCCACAGAGCCUUCAAACUCGGCGUCAUCCAGCAAGUCAGAGAA
rnacentral:lncRNA from 1 species